CAAAUGACUCUCGGCAACGGAUAUCUCGGCUCACGCAUCGAUGAAGAACGUAGCAAAAUGCGAUACUUGGUGUGAAUUGCAGAAUCCCGUGAACCAUCGAGUUUUUGAACGCAAGUUGCGCCCGAAGCCUUUUGGCCAAGGGCAUGUCUGCCUGGGCGUCUCAC
rnacentral:rRNA from 1 species